rnacentral:snRNA from 1 species
GCUUGUGGCAGCCAAGCG